GGAGAUAUUGCCUAAUGGUAUGGCAGUAGAUUGCUUAAUAGCUCUUAUGGGUUCGAGUCCCAUUAUCUCCA
rnacentral:tRNA from 1 species